rnacentral:rRNA from 1 species
UACGAAGGGGGCUAGCGUUGCUCGGAAUUACUGGGCGUAAAGCGUGCGCAGGCGGUUUUGUAAGCCAGAUGUGAAAUCCCCGGGCUUAACCUGGGAAUGGCAUUUGGGACUGCAAGGCUGGAGUUUGGCAGAGGAGACUGGAAUUCCCGGUGUAGCAGUGAAAUGCGUAGAUAUCGGGAGGAAUACCGAUGGCGAAGGCAGGUCUCUGGGCUAUAACUGACGCUCAUGCACGAAAGCGUGGGGAGCAAACAGG